rnacentral:snRNA from 1 species
GUAUGUGAUGGCAAUCUGACUGUGACAUUUGUCACUCCAUUGAUUGCUAGGUUUGAUUCAGGUGAUUUGGCUGGUUAGGUGGGUGUCCCUUUCCUCCCUCAGUGCUUCAUGUGCAGGAAAGCUACAUUCUUGAUGGGAAAGGAUGAGCAUCACAGAUAGAAGGAGUAUACUGAGGUCUUCAGUCUCCAGUCUCCGGUCUUCAGUGUACAAUAGCUGUGCUCUCCUCCUGGAACCUCCAAACAAAAUCUCCUUAAACAGGAAAUUAUUUGUGCCAAGUGGCCAACAAAUUCAUGCUGUUACUCUGCCUAGUUCAGCAGCCAGGUUGUGUACACAU